AACAAAUGGAGAGGAAACGUGGAGAUGUGAGCAGAACCUCAUCUUGUCAUAGCAAAGUUCUGGUUCCAGAACCAGACUCAGGACUAACCUUGGUCUUGGCUGCAUCUUUGGAUUUGUCUUCCAUUUGAGAAUAGCUUCAAACUGAUCUCAUUGAUUGGGUCAUUAAAGUGCCAUUCCUGUCUUACGCCUCUGAAGCUGACAGCCAUACCUGUGCACUCCCUUUUGUGAAGUCGCAUCUAAUUUCAGAAGGCAAAUGGAAAAGGUAAUGUAUCAGGGCAGAUGUUGCUUGUGGCUCCUGCUGAGAGUGGUUCCUGAGUGGCUGAUUUUCGCAUGUGCUUGAUACUCUGAUAUACUGACAGAACUAUUUGCUAAGGCACCUUUUGAAGAAAUUCCCAGAGGCAUCGAAAAGCUGGGAAAUAGUUAAAAUACAUAAGGAUAAUCUUCUGUUACUGUAUGAAUUCCUCUUAGAGCUGUGUGGUUGUUAGAAGGAAUAUGCACAGACUGUGGCUUAUCAAGAGCAGUCCUCGGAUCUUUGUUUUCCCCACAUUUAUUCAGGACCCCCCUCUCCAGGGGUCAUGCUUGUAACCUGGGUGUAGCAGCUCUUUGUAUUUCUCAAAGAGGUCCUGAGUCAUUAGAUAGCGCAAUGCUAUAAACGCCAUUUUCUGAGAAUUGAAGGGCAGAUUUCUGUGAUUCUUAUCUGGGGAAGGGACAGAGAUAUCUCUUUUGAGAGGGAGAUUUGAGAGCAGUGGGUCACCAUGGUGGACUCUUUCUGAUAAAUUCUCCUUGUAGAUGUGGAAUCCUUUGACAGCUACAUGUUUAAAAAAAGCUUAAGGCCACAUCUGCAGGAGAGUCAUCCUGAUAGUUUUGGAUAUUGUAAGUAACAAGCAGGACUGAGGCUGAGAUCAUCUAGUUGUCCUCACGAAGAUCUAGUGUGAUUUUUAAAUUUCUCAAGAAGGGCAAAGAUUUCAGAAAACAAAGCAUAUACUACUUUACAUCUUGCUGUGGGAUUAAUCUACUCAAGAUGUAGUAAAAAUGGCUUUUCCUGAAACUAGAAGAUCAAUGGAACUCCCAGGGUAGCUUUCUAUUGAUGAAAGUGUGUUGGAUCUUAGAUUGCUAAAAAUGUAAAAAAAAAGCACACAAACCCAACAGCAAAUAAGUUACUGCCAACACAUUUAUUUCUCUCUGUAUUUUUUUGUUUUUCUCUAGUUUUCUCCAAUUCUGAAGAUUUCUUUUUUUUUUUUUCUUAUGGUCUCUGGUUUUCAUUUUACCAUGACUUUUCCUCCCAUUUCAUCUAGGUUGCAACCAUCAAGAUAUUUCUCUUGUUCUCAUCACAGAUGACUCAUCAAAGCCAAAGCACCCAUUAAUCGAUCAUCUUACUGAUCAGCUUUAUUUCUAGUAGUGUCUAGUACUGAGAAAAAGUUGUUUGAAGAUGUUCUUCCCAUCCUCCUCAAAGCCAGUGGAUAUCGUGGAGUUUCCACUUGGAAUGAAAUGGAAUGGCAUGAAGUGCCCUUUUGAAGAGAAGAUGCUUAGGCUGCUUUAUAUACCC